GCAUGGACGAAUUCUGCUUUUACUCUUUCUGUAGUAAAGGCAGUCAGACACCAUGCCAGAUUACUACACUCGCUCGCUCUCCUUUUCUCACAGUGGUACAUUUAUGGUGUGUUCUCACUGAUUUGGGAGGGAAGCGAACAAUC